AGCUUUGCGCAGUGGCAGUAUCGUAGCCAAUGAGGUUUAUCCGAGGCGUGAUUAUUGCUAAUUGUCUUCAUUAUAGAAAUCUUGUGUAUCGUUCUUUGCAUUUAUCCUUAUCUUAAAAGUACUUUUGAUGCUAGUAUAAUUA